CCUACGGGAGGCAGCAGUGGGGGAUAUUGCACAAUGGGGGGAACCCUGAUGCAGCGACGCCGCGUGGGUGAAGAAGCGCCUCGGCGCGUAAAGCCCUGUCAGCAGGGAAGAAAAUGACGGUACCUGAAGAAGAAGCCCCGGCUAACUACGUGCCAGCAGCCGCGGUAAUACGUAGGGGGCCAGCGUUAUCCGGAUUUACUGGGUGGAAAGGGGGCGCAGACGGCGAUGCAAGCCAGGAGUGAAAGCCCGGGGCCCAACCCCGGGACUGCGCUUGGAACUGCGUGGCUGGAGUGCAGGAGGGGCAGGCGGAAGUCCUGGUGUAGCGGUGAAAUGCGUAGAUAUCAGGAGGAACACCGGUGGCGAAGGCGGCCUGCUGGACUGCAACUGACGUUGAGGCCCGAAAGCGUGGGGAGCAAACAGGAUUAGAUACCCCUGUAGUC
rnacentral:rRNA from 1 species